GAAGCUAGUGGAGGAAGGUGAAGUGGAGCUGGAGAAGGUCCAUACUAAGAGAACCAGUCAAAUGCACUCAUGAAGGUACUUCCUCGAGAUAGCUUUCAGAUGUGCGUGGCACGGAUGGAUCUAUAGGAUAAAGCUGAGUUCACAAAGAUUUGAUAGCACUAAGGUGGAGAUCGUGAGCUCAGGUAUGGCACUACCAAGCUUUGGAAAC
rnacentral:lncRNA from 1 species